rnacentral:rRNA from 1 species
GACGAACGCUGGCGGCGUGCUUAACACAUGCAAGUCGAACGAUGAACUUGGAGCUUGCUCUGGGGGAUUAGUGGCGAACGGGUGAGUAACACGUGAGUAACCUGCCCUGGACUCUGGGAUAACUUCGAGAAAUCGGAGCUAAUACCGGAUAGGACCUUGCACCGCAUGGUGUGGGGUGGAAAGUUUUUCGGUUUGGGAUGGACUCGCGGCCUAUCAGCUUGUUGGUGAGGUAAUGGCUCACCAAGGCGUCGACGGGUAGCCGGCCUGAGAGGGUGACCGGCCCCACUGGGAGUGAGACACGGCACAGAGUCCUACGUGAGGCAGCAGUGGGGAAUAUUGCACAAUGGGCGCAAGCCUGAUGCAGCAACGCCGCGUGCGGGAUGACGGCCUUCGGGUUGUAAACCGCUUUUAGUAGGGAAGAAGCCUUCGGGUGACGGUACCUGCAGAAAAAGGACCGGCUAACUACGUGCCAGCAGCCGCAGUAACAC